rnacentral:rRNA from 1 species
UACGGAGGGGACUAGCGUUGUUCGGAAUUACUGGGCGUAAAGCGCACGUAGGCGGAUUUGUAAGUCAGGGGUGAAAUCCCGGGGCUCAACCUCGGAACUGCCUUUGAUACUGCAAAUCUCGAGUCCGGAAGAGGUGAGUGGAAUUCCUAGUGUAGAGGUGAAAUUCGUAGAUAUUAGGAAGAACACCGGUGGCGAAGGCGGCUCUCUGGACCGAGACUGACGCUGAGGCGCGAAAGCGUGGGGAGCAAACAGG